AACGCACCUUGCACCCUUUGGCAUUCCGAAGGGUAUGCUCGUUUGAGUGUCAUUGUACUCUCACACUUCCAAUCCUUUGGACUGGGAGCGGUGGACUUGGGUGUUGCUGCUUUACUGUGGCUCACCUUAAAUGCAUUAGUGCACCUCUUGGUUGGACAUAGUACGGCGUGAUAAGUGUCUUCGUCGGCACCUCACUUACUUUCUUACUUACUUAGUCUGUUUGUAAGGGAGGGUGGCUGAUCGGGAGCUCUGUGCUUCAAACCGUCUUUGGGCAGACAAUGACUGACAAACUUGACCUCAAAUCGAGUAGGACUACCCGCUGAACUUAA
rnacentral:misc_RNA from 1 species